GGCAGAAUAGUUCAGUUGGAAAGAGCACUAAUAGCACAAUCACUUAGAGGUCCCUGAUUCAAUUCCGGGUUCAGCCA